CGUAGGUGGCAAGCGUUGUCCGGAUUUACUGGGCGUAAAGGGCGUGCAGGCGGUCUGUUAAGUCUAGGGUGAAAGCUCCCGGCUCAACUGGGAGAGGUCCUUGGAUACUGGCGGACUUGAGGGAGGUAGAGGAGAAUGGAAUUCCCGGUGUAGUGGUGAUAUGCGUAGAUAUCGGGAGGAACACCUGUGGCGAAGGCGGUUCUCUGGGCCUUACCUGACGCUGAGACGCGAAAGCGUGGGGAGCGAACCGGAUUAGAUACCCGGGUAGUCCACGCCGUAAACUAUGGACACUAGGUGUGGGGGGUAUCGACCCCCUCCGUGCCGAAGCUAACGCAAUAAGUGUCCCGCCUGGGGAGUACGGCCGCAAGGCUA
rnacentral:rRNA from 1 species